rnacentral:snRNA from 1 species
GCUAGCUUCGGCACACAUAUUAAAAAUAAUUGGAAUAAUAGAAUCUAGCAUGGCCCCUGUGCAGUGAUGACACACAAAUUCGUGAAACAUUUUUAAUUUUU